GACCAGAAGGGGAGGAGCCUGGCUCCACCCCUCCUAGACACCAUUUAAGGGCUGACUCCCAAGGGGGAAGGAUCUCUAUCUAGAGAUCCUCCCUCUUGGAGCCCUUUUGUGAGCCCAAGAUAUGGCUCUUAUUCCCAAUAUGCAUACGCCUCUUCCCUCAAGAUCUCCUGGGUGCAGGCAGGUGAUCAGCACAAUAUGACUCACAACAGUGGAAGACUUGAAGUCAGCAGCAUCCUUCAAGAAGAUUGGACUGGUUUUCAGCUGGGUAGGCUUCUGUCACUGUUGAAGCAAGAAGAUGAAGCAGCGUCCUGUGAAACAGCAGAGGUAGGAGCAGGGCUGCGAUGGCUUAUCUUGCUGUGGAGCUUUUUGAGUUGUCAUUUUUCACAGGCAAGUGUAUCCUCCACUGAUCCUUAGAUUUUUUUGUCAGCAUGUACGUGAACAGAUAUUUUUCAUUCAGGCUGCCAAAUGGGAUAGUACAUUAUUAGCUCUUAACUUCUACCACAUAAAAGAGUAACCAGACCCUCGUAUGACAGUAGAACUGCAGUACUGACUCUUUCCUCCUCCACUAUUUUUCUCCCCAGGACUCUGGGGGAGUUACCAAAUUUGGAGAGGCCCCUUUUCCUAUGUAGAGUAGGCAGUAAGAUUUCAAAGGUGACUGUAAAGCACAAUAGAGUUUCCUGUUAUACUUUGUUGAAUGAAUGAUUAUUGGUAGCCUUGUUUUGAUAUAUUUUUUUUUUCCUUUUUUCUUUUUCUUGUGGAAAGUUCAGUUUCUACAAGCUAAAGGAAAAAGAAUCAUGCUUCCUUGCAAAACUAUGUUGUGGAUGUAGGGUUUUUUUUUGUUUGUUUGUUUGUUUGUUUUUUCUAUCGAGAAAAUUUAAAUUAUUUAGUUUUGGUCAUCUUGUACAAUGAACUGCAAUAUUUUGGUUUCUUGACGCAGACCAAAAUUUUCACUUCUGAGUCACAGAAAAUUUUGCCAAGAUCUUGAAAUUGCAGUCUGGAUAUUUUCUCACUUGUACCUUUCCCCUGCUAUUCAGCUGUGCCCAUGUUUAUAGGACAAGUGACAUCAAAGUAAAUGAUAGGCUGGCCAUGAAAGGUAACAAUGGUGAUUAUUUUACCUCAGGGAUAAUUAUAGAUAAAGGAAGCAGAUGUAGUUCAAUGCUGAGUCUAUCUGAAAAUAAACAUAUCUUUUAGAUUCAAUGAGCUAAAAUGCAUCUAUAUAAGAAUACUGGCAUGAUUAUUUUUAUUUUGAAUCUUAAGUGAUCUGUUCUGCCACGUUACCUUAGAACCUUCCUGGAACCUUGAAAUCAUGGAAUAGGUGAGGAAGGGACCUUUGGAAAUCUGUGGCCUGAAGCCAGCUUCUGAGCAGAUCAUGCAGGGUCACAGUCAGUUAGAUUUCAUAUUUUUCAAUAUCUCUAAGAAUGGAAACUAUACAACUUCUCUGAUCAGCCUGUGCCAGUGUUUGACCACUCUCACAGUAAUUUUUUACUGCUUAUGUUCAAGUAGAAUUUCCAGUAUGUAAGUUUGUACCAGUUACUUCCUGUCACUUACUGGGCAUGGCCAAGAAGAGUCUGUCUUCCUCUUCUUAAUCCCUUCCUGUCCCCUCAGGCAUUUACACACAAAUCAGAAACAGAGGUACUGGAAUAUCCUAUGGGAAGAAUGAUCUAGUUUUCAUUCAUAUUUCUGUUAAAUUUAAGACCAAGUAUAAGAAGAUAGAGGAUGCAAACAAUGAAAGCAGAAUUUCCUAGAGGUGAAGUAGUUUGCAUAAAAGAUAUCAUGUCCCGAACGUUUUCUUACGUACUGUGUGACUCACACGGUACCACAUCACAUCAAACCCUUUAUAUUCAGUAACAUUUCUAUUUCUUCCCUACUGAGACAGAUAGAUCACAGCAAAAGCCAUUAAUGUUUUUAUUAGGCCCGUCUGAAUAGCUUUGUAAAGGACACUUGGGGCUGCCUCUUAAUUUACAACCCAGACUGAGCAGUAAGUUUAUGUGGACAAAAUUGUCUCUAUCUUUAACUCUAAGAAUUAAAUAUCACCAGCACAGAUAUGCAGAGAUCAUGUACUACUCUUUUCCUCAAAUUGUGGAGCAGCCUCUUGUUUGUUUGGCUUUGGAGUGUAGUUGCCUGUGCCCUAGAGGGCAAGAUUAUUUAAAUGUUAAUAAUUUGUCCCUAGCCUUUAAAUAGCCAGGGUGUUAUUCUCUCCAUUUUGCUUCACUGAAUUGCAUUUGAGUCCAUAUUGGAGGUCAGCUGCCUCCUACAAUUUAUGAGAUGCGUCUCUACAAAGAAUGAGAACGGAUGCAAUUGAUGGAGAAGUUGAAGAAAAGAAAACUCAUGACUCUCAUUUUCCCUCAGUGAUGUCUACUAGCUGCUCCUUAAUGGAUGGUCAACUCAAGACCCUCCUGAUCAUUUCCUGGAAAUGAUCUUACUUUUCAGAUGGAAAAGUAAGGUGUCGCCCGUAGCAAAGAUCUGCUUUCUGGCACUGUACUCCCUGCAGCUAUCAUGCUGUGCCAGGGAAAUGGUAAGGUAAAUGGGCUGGCAAGAUGUGGCUCUAUGCAUGUUGCACAUGUACAUUCCCUGUUUAACAUGUCCUCUUCUACUUGCACAAAAGGACCGUAGUUGUUAACAUGCCAAUAAGUUUUAUUUCAACCACGUGGAGCAUGCUGAAUUUUUAUUUAUCAUAUACUGCAUUUGCUGUUACAUGUAUUUUGUAUGAGCGCUGCCUCCCCGUCUUCUAAGGCAUUGUAUUUAACCCUGCCAUUCAGUGCCCUGAGGAAGGAAGCUGAAACAUGAAUAGGGCUGUCAUCCCAUACAAGUUGCCUCUUGGCAAGGCUGUGAAGGUAAGUUUGCAUUUCUGUUAAUCCUUUUAUUCUUAUUAGAUGGAUUUACAGGUGGCUAUCGGUCUUUAGGGUUGUCACUUCAGCCCUUAAAGGACAGGAUUGUGGCUAUCUUUCACUUUGCAAGAGGAAACAGUGGAAGGAGUGCUGAAGAGGUUCCCAUAUAGAGGUGACUUGGGAUACCUGAAACUGAGAAAUUUGUCUUUCAAAAAUUGCUAUGCAAAUUGCUAUCAUUUGUUCCUUUAGAAUCCUUCUAUUUUGUGAACGUGUGCUCAAAAACUUGAAUGACAGGAAGAACAAUUCAGUGGCUCAAGUGAAAUUGGCAGCUUUCCAUAUGCUACAGUAUUUGUAAGCAUCCGUUCUGAUGUAAGAAAUGUGAAUAAUAUUACUGGAUAUUAAGCCAACGUUAUAAAAAGUGCGCUCAGUGGUAAUUAAGAAAUUACAUACAUGUAAAUGAUCUUAAAGCUGGCUUAAAAUUAAGCUAGAAGUCUACAGCAGAAUGAUGUCAUGUUGGAUGGGUUCCACUUUUUGGAGAUGCUUACCCACUAACUUCCAUUCUGCAGAAUUUCCUCAGAGCAGUAAAAGGGUUCUUUGUGCUCAAGAAAUUACCACAUAGAUAAAUGGUGACAUAGAAGUGAUUUUCUUUUCAUAUGUGAUAUAUUCUGCCACAGAAAAACAAUUUCAGCUGUAUUUCUAAACAAAAGCAGGAGCUGAUUAGGGUAGAUUAAUUGCUAUUACCAAUUUUAAUCAUCAUUUAAAUCAGCAAAGAGGAAACAGUUUUAAAUAAUAAAUAUUAAUCUUGUUUUGCAUUCUAACUUAUUAGUUUCUUUCCUAAAAGUAUGCUGGACUUUCCUAAUUAGUAACCACAGGAAUAUAUUGAUUUUCACCUAAAUACAAUCUUUGUGCUAAAUGUGGUACUUCCUUUUGUCCAGCAGGUGAAUAAAUUAUAUCUAUAUUCAUGCAUUUAGCCAUUAUAUAGACGGAUAUAACUUUAGUCUCUUUCUGACUAACAAGUAAUUUAGAAAUUUGAUGAACAGUACAUUUACUGGUUACCCUACUAUGAUUAUCUUCUUGUUUGCGUCUCUUGUCAAGAUGCAGUUGGAUGGAAUCUGCAACUCAAUUAAAAGCACAAGCCCAACAUUGUAAAGUUGUUUGUUUCAGUUAAAUUAAACCACCUUAAGUAGCUGGUUACUUAGGGAAAACAUCCUUUUAUUGAAAUGGGUUUUGCAACUAAUUGUUUCAUUAAACAAAGGAAGUAUUGUCCAUCAGUAACAGAUUGUACUAAUAGUUUCUGAUCAUCAUGUCUGUCAUGAUUUUAGAACUAGCAGAUCUCAUCCUGUUACACCUCAUUUAUAUUUAUGGAUUGGAAGGGGAUAAUAAGCUAUCCAGUUUUUCAGCAGCCAAAAAUUUCUCAGCUAUGAAUAAAUUAGUCAUUGAAUUUAAGUCACUAAGCAAACAGAAAUGCAGAAAAUACCGUUCUUGAAGUUGCAGAAAAGGCUGUAGCUUAUUAACUAGUUCGGUACAUUUGCAGGUUUAGAUUUAGGACUCCCUAAGUUCUGAAUUACCUGACUCAGUGAUUUGCCUUUGGCAUUUAACACAUAUUAUGGGGUUAUUAAUUUUAUGUAAAACAAAUAAUUUCAUGAAUUAUAAUGAAUGUAGGCGUAGCUGUGAAUUGUUGGUGUUUAAGUUUUAAUUUUAUGUAGGUUUACUAGCAAAAGUAUAUUAAAUUUAACUUAAGAAUCUGGUUUCAACAUGAGCUUCCACUGCAGGAUGCACUUUACAGAGUUAAGCAAAGGGGCGGAAAUGGCUACCCACUAACCAGUAGCCACCAGCAAACAUUGUCUAGCCAGAUGUUGAUCCAGAUGAUUACAAAAACCUAGAAUGCAGCUGGAUUGUGAGACCCACCCGAAGUAAAUAAUGUUAAUGAUCACCUCAUGCUUCUAAGUUAUGUUAUAAUUGCCACUGGAUUAAUACAGAAAAAAAAAAAAAAAAAAAAGUUCUAUUAAAUGACACUACAUCCCUGGGAAAGAGUGUGGGUAAGGCAUAGAGGUGUAGAAACAGCCUACUGAUUCAUCCUGACAGUCAGGUCAGGCUGACUGGCUCAUUAACUCAGAGGUAUAAAAUACUGAGCUUUUCUCUGAGGCCGGAGAGAGAGAGAAGGGACAGGAGAUAACCUGCAGGCAGAAGCCAUAAGAACAGUCAGUUCAGGAGAGAGCUUGAGGACUGAAGCUUAUGUUUAUGAGUACAUUUCUGCUUGCAGCCUUUCCCUUUACUGGAAAUAGGAAGAAAGUUUACACAGUUUGUGGGAGGGAUAGGUAUGUAGAUGGGACCGAGCAGUCAUCCCAGCUGCAGAGCUCAGCUGCCCUGGGCCAAGUGCAUUUGGUCAGCAUCAGCUUGGCAUUCCUGCUGUCUUCUGCUGCUCUAGGCUGCAGCUGGCAAUGUCUUCCAAGGCUUAAACGUGCUUGUGAGUCUUCCAGAAGUGUAGGGGAGCUGACCUCCGCAGCCCACAGCCCUUUAACAAUAUAACCAGUGGUGACACCAUCUUUCUGCAGUUGCGUCUUCAGUUUCCCAUGGGAAUGCAUUGCUUUACGGCUUAUAGUCACUAAUGCUGAUAAUUGGCCACACAGAAUUUGCAGGCUGCAUUCUGGCUCUUCCAGAGAGAUGGUACUUUUAAAGCAUGUCAGACAUAGUUGUGGAAUGGCAACAGAAUCAAGUUGUUCCUACUUUCCUCUCUCUCCUAAAAAGAGUAGUACGGUUUUCCUAUAUGAAAUAAGGAGUCUAUUUGAGAAAAGGUCAUGAAAAAACAUUGUACAGGAUUUCCAUUUCGAACCAGUCACACUAGUUUCUGAAAGCAACAGUGUCUUUCAGCAGCAUGUUCCAUAGAUAAGGGGCUCUCCACUCCAAGCUGGGAAAGUAUAAAUCUGUUUUGCUGAAAUGCAGCUUUCUGAAAAACAGAGGCACCUGACACAAAGUCUGUGGAACUUUUGUUCGUAUUUCUUUUACAAGACUUUGAAGGAGUUUUUAAGGCCUUGAAGUAAGCUGUCUCUUAGUUAGGAAGUCUUUAGGAGCUUUUAACUGAAAGCUAUGUGUCUGAGAUGAUAAUGGAGAGAAAUAGUGAAUGCAGCUUGAAAGGACAACACUGUUUCCUGAAUAUAAGCUCUGGAGAGCCAUUGUUGUGCUAUUAAGGAGAACUGGACCUCAAAAAUUGCAGCUCUGAGUGAUGCUUCAUUAGGCACCUCCAGGUACCUGGGGGAAAAAAAGGAGAAUGCAGUGCUACACAUGAGAAGCUGCACCCCAGAGCUACAGCACAGCAAAGAUGCUGAGGUCACAGCCAUUGGGCUCCAUUGGCUUUUGCAGUAAGGUUUCGAUAUUGAUCAUGGACAGAAUAAAUGGAUGGAAAGAAUAGAAUUGCGUAUGCUUUACUCAUAGAUCACACAUUUCUCACACAAAUGUACUUUGUUGCUGUACUUCAUUUAGGAGGCUAGCAGCUCUAGAAUAGUUUUUAGGGAAUUUUUUGUUUCUUUCUUUCUUUGUUAGUUUCCUGGAAACAGAAAUGGGAUAAGAGAGAUUUUGAAGCAUGUGGUGAGAGUUAAGAGCGUUUCAAACCACUGAAGGCUGUUUCCCACUGUAGACCUAUGCUGAUAUCCAGAUUGGUAGCAAAAGAAAGAGAUGAGACUAUUGACUGUUUUGUUUCCAGACAUCAGCUUUCAGCUCAAUCCUACAGCUUUGGAGCUGUCUGGGAGGAUUAACAAGGCCCAAGGUAUUGAUGAAUUGCAUCUGACACACUGCAAAGGAGAUUACUUGUAGCCCUUUCUCAUAGUAGUGAUCCUACAAGAUACUGCCUUGUCCACGGAAGCAACAGGGCACUUGAGUUCCAAAAAUGAUAAAUUUUCUUUUAACUCACUGGAUCACAAACAUCUCAGAGCCAAGCAGUGUACUAAGCUAUUGCAGUGUUGGUAUGCUGGGUUGUGGGAGCUAGCACUGAGUUGUAAGACUGUUUUGGCACUUUAUUCAGUAUGUGAUGAGAGGGAAAAAAAUCAAUCCUAAGAGGGGAAAAUAAGAAAAAAAAAUGAAUGAAAGAAGACCAAGAAUUUAAAAAAAAAAAAAAAGAAAAAACAAAAACCUUAGGGAAUUGGGAUAGAACUCCAGGAGAAUAGUUCUCCAUGUAAGUCUUGACCAGCAGGACUUAACCACUUAAUCAUGUCCUUUUUUCAGAUGAUGAAUGAUUCAGUGAGACUAGUUGAAUUUAUCCAAGGGAUUUACAAGCUGGUACAUUUUGCUGGACAAGAACUCUCCAAUGAGUUCAUUCAAGAGCCAGCUGAAAUAUUUAUAGCACGAUUGAAAAACGACAUCCCACAACAGCAACAAAAGCUUCAGGUAGGUUCAGAAACAGGAAGUAAAAAAUGUUUUAACAAAGAGCUGGUUGUGGAACAUCUGUGCUAUAUCUUUUUGAGUGAUUUCUUGGUGAGACUGAUUGGAAAAAUGCAGUUUGAGAUAAAUGGGGAAUGUUUGUUCAGGGGAAUGAAGGAAGAGGAAAAGCAAACACUUUCCUUUGCGAAAGAGAAGGUUUCAAGGUGACUUAGAGAAACGUUCAAAAUGAUAAAGGACUUGGUUAAAGCUGAAAAAGAUAAACAACGUACACUAAUAAGGAGUUAAAAGCAUGGCUUGAUAAUGGCCUCUGAAUGGAUUUUGUGUUAUUUGGGCUUUGUUCAUCUAGUUAAAUUCAAGGUUGUUUGACAGCAGGAGCACCUAUCAGUAAUUAAUUUCUAGGUUUAAAGGUGCAACCUGCCCAGAAAACCUUUGUUGUUUUUAAUGAAAACUGUUGCAGCUUGGAACACAGAUGAAGGAACAAAGGUUUUUAUUUAUUUAUUUAAAUGAUGGCUUUGGACAGAGAAAUUAAACACAGUAGGUAGAAAGAUUCAGCACAGAUGUGAAUUGAUCUUGUGUGUGUCUCUCCUAACUGAGAAAUGGGCAAAUUGACUUGGAUUGAAAGAAAGAAAUCUCUAUAGUGUUCAUAGGAAAAGUGAAAAGGUCCUUAUAUUUAAGAGACUGUAAUAUUUUUCACUUUGACAGACUUUUGUGCUGAAUCUUCCAGAUAGGCAAAUGCAGAAUUAUUUUUACUUGGUGAUUUUUUAGAAGAAAUUUUGAACAGACCAGGAAGAUCCAAAACCUGUUGAGCUAAAGUUCUUAUUGUAAAUUGUUAAACUUUUGGCAACUGAUAAACAUUGUUAUAGUACCUUUUGGCAUCAUUACCUUCUGCCCACUGUAACGGGCAGCUAAACUCGACAACUGCUCUCUCACUUGCCCUUCUUAAAGGAAAGGGGAGAAAAUAUGAUGAGAAAGGGCUCAAGGGUUUAUAUAAGGUCAGGAAGAUGGCUUACCAAUUACCAUCACAAGUACAAAAAACCUCAGCUUAGGGAGAUUAAUAUAAUUUAUUGCCCAUUACUAACAAACUAGAGCAGUGAGAAACUAAAAGCAAACUAAAAAUCACCUUCCUCCCAUCUACCCUCUUCUACCUCCCUGAGUGGCACAAGGAGACAGGGAAUGGAGGCUAUUCUCCAUCCAUAAUGCUUCAUCUCUGCCACUCCUUCCUGAUCCCUCUCUCUGCUUAUUAGAGAUAGGGGUAG
rnacentral:lncRNA from 1 species